rnacentral:misc_RNA from 1 species
GAUGAAGAACGUAGCGAAAUGCGAUAAGUAAUGUGAAUUGCAGAAUUCAGUGAGUCAUCGAAUCUUUGAACGCACAUUGCGCCCUGUGGUAUUCCGCAGGGCAUGCCUGUUCGAGCGUCAUUUCAACCCUCAAGCCUCGCUUGGUGUUGGGCCCUGCCCGCCGCGGCCGGCCCUAAAGAUAGUGGCGGCGCCGCCUGGCCCUCAGCGUAGUACAGCUCUCGCUCCAGGGUCCGGCGGCAGCCUGCCAGAACCCCCCAACUCUGUGGUUGACCUCGGAUCAGGUAGGGAUACCCGCUGAACUUAAGCAUAUCAAUAAGCGGAGGA